ACAUUGCUCUCAGGGCCCCUUGAUGUGGUCCCAUCAAUCCAUCAUCAUGUAAUAUGUUGUGGGCCUUAACACACCCCACCAUGCCAGCUUCCUCACCGAGGCUGUAGACCUUGUUUCCAUUUGCAAGCUUGGAUCUGUGAGGAAGGAAGAAAUACUUUAUGAGUCAUCACCCUCAAGAGCUUUGCACUUCAAGAUGUAAAUGUAGGAGGAUAUUGUUCAGAGGUCUUUCAGUUUGCUCUACAAACUUGCAAAUUCAGGUGCAGAAACCAAAACCUUGAAUGUCUCUAUUUGACUAUGUGGAAAUGAUUAUAGUAAAAUGCUGACAUCUGCAAAACCUUCCAUAAAAUUUUCACAGUAAGGGAACAGCAAACACAAAGACCCUCAGCUCAAAGCUGGCACAAGAACUGAGCUUCCAUUUACCAUCAUGUGCUUUGCUCUUGUUGAUGCCAGUAAACUCCAAGCAAGUUGUCUGCAAUAGCAAGUCCAUGUGUUGCAUAAGUAUGAAUGACAUGUUUUUAUGAAGAAGUCCAACACACUGGCUACAUCAGAAGGGGAAAUAAGUGGAAAAGAUGAUGAGAAUAUAGUUCUUAACUGGCGUGUAGCAGAGGGAAAGUCCAACUCCUAAUGUAUUGUGGAACUAUCUGGUAAAAACUUAUGCAUGCUUUUGGACUCCAUUUCAUCUGCAGAUUAGAAUCACUAAAGUUGCCACAGGAGAGGCCAAGCACAUUAGUGAAAUAACACAAGUACUCCACCCUUGGAAGAUCUGUAAAUACAGCACUCCAAAACCAUCUGUCAGCCCUCCAAAACCACUGCAGGAAAGCCGGGACACAGUUUUGCUGCAUUGCAGACAAAUGCUAAAUCAGCCUCCUGAGCCAGACACAGCACUCAAGCUUUCAACAAAAGGCCUCAAAGUCCUCUUUGACCUCAUCAUGGCCAGAAAUCUCAUUGCUGCCUCUGCCAGGUCAUAGAUUUUAAGAAGUGGACUCACCAUGAGCCUUCAAGCCAAUGUCGUUUUUGCAUGGACCACAGGACUUGCUGACAUCAGUUCCUGCUUCAAGUCCAAAGACAAUGGUUGGAAUAAAACAGAUCAUUUUGGAAAUAUUUCCAGUAUACACAUUCUCAACCCAGUAUUAGUUGUUCCAAUGAUUGUUUUUAUUUCCAUUUUUAAUUAAUUUUAAUUAAAAAUUUAUUUCCAACU
ensembl:lncRNA